rnacentral:rRNA from 1 species
UGGGGAAUAUUGCACAAUGGGCGCAAGCCUGAUGCAGCAACGCCGCGUGAGGGACGACGGCCUUCGGGUUGUAAACCUCUUUUAGUAGGGAAGAAGCGAAAGUGACGGUACCUGCAGAAAAAGCACCGGCUAACUACGUGCCAGCAGCCGCGGUAAUACGUAGGGUGCGAGCGUUGUCCGGAAUUAUUGGGCGUAAAGAGCUCGUAGGCGGUCUGUCGCGUCUGCUGUGAAAACCCGAGGCUCAACCUCGGGCCUGCAGUGGGUACGGGCAGACUAGAGUGCGGUAGGGGAGAAUGGAAUUCCUGGUGUAGCGGUGGAAUGCGCAGAUAUCAGGAGGAACACCGAUGGCGAAGGCAGUUCUCUGGGCCGUAACUGACGCUGAGGAGCGAAAGCGUGGGGAGCGAACAGGAUUAGAUACCCUGGUAGUCCACGCCGUAAACGUUGGGCGCUAGAUGUGGGGACCAUUCCACGGUUUCCGUGUCGCAGCUAACGCAUUAAGCGCCCCGCCUGGGGAGUACGGUCGCAAGAUUAAAACU